rnacentral:sRNA from 1 species
CUUGGUCAUUUAGAGGAAGUAAAAGUCGUAACAAGGUCUCCGUAGGUGAACCUGCGGAGGGAUCAUUACAAGUGACCCCGGUCUAACCACCGGGAUGUUCAUAACCCUUUGUUGUCCGACUCUGUUGCCUCCGGGGCGACCCUGCCUUCGGGCGGGGGCUCCGGGUGGACACUUCAAACUCUUGCGUAACUUUGCAGUCUGAGUAAACUUAAUUAAUAAAUUAAAACUUUUAACAACGGAUCUCUUGGUUCUGGCAUCGAUGAAGAACGCAGCGAAAUGCGAUAAGUAAUGUGAAUUGCAGAAUUCAGUGAAUCAUCGAAUCUUUGAACGCACAUUGCGCCCCCUGGUAUUCCGGGGGGCAUGCCUGUUCGAGCGCCAUUUCACCACUCAAGCCUCGCUUGGUAUUGGGCAACGCGGUCCGCCGCGUGCCUCAAAUCGACCGGCUGGGUCUUCUGUCCCCUAAGCGUUGUGGAAACUAUUCGCUAAAGGGUGUUCGGGAGGCUACGCCGUAAAACAACCCCAUUUCUAAGGUUGACCUCGGAUCAGGUAGGGAUACCCGCUGAACUUAAGCAUAUCAAUAAGCGGAGGAAAAGAAACCAACAGGGAUUGCUCUAGUAACGGCGAGUGAAGCAGCAAUAGCUCAAAUUUGAAAUCUGGCGUCUUCGACGUCCGAGUUGUAAUUUGUAGAGGAUGCUUCUGAGUAACCACCGACCUAAGUUCCUUGGAACAGGACGUCAUAGAGGGUGAGAAUCCCGUAUGCGGUCGGAAAGGUGCUCUAUACGUAGCUCCUUCGACGAGUCGAGUUGUUUGGGAAU